rnacentral:rRNA from 1 species
CGUAGGGUGCGAGCGUUAAUCGGAAUUACUGGGCGUAAAGCGUGCGCAGGCGGUUUUGUAAGACAGAUGUGAAAUCCCCGGGCUCAACCUGGGACCUGCAUUUGUGACUGCAAGGCUAGAGUACGGUAGAGGGGAUGGAAUUCCGCGUGUAGCAGUGAAAUGCGUAGAUAUACGGAGGAACACCGAUGGCGAAGGCAAUCCCCUGGACCUGUACUGACGCUCAUGCACGAAAGCGUGGGGAGCAAACAGGAUUAGAUACCCUGGUAGUCCACGCCCUAAACGAUGUCAGCUGGUUGUUGGGUCUUUACUGACUCAGUAACGAAGCUAACGCGUGAAGUUGACCGCCUGGGGAGUACGGCCGCAAGGUUG